GUGUACAGCCAUGCCACCUUGAACGUGCUGGAUCUCAUCUGAUCUCAGAAGCUAAGUAGGAUUGGGCCUGGUUAGUACGUUCAUGGGAGAAAAAGAGGACACUUUAGCA
rnacentral:rRNA from 1 species